CUGGGUAGCUCAGCUGGUGAGAGCGCUGGUCUCAUAAGCCGGAGGUCGACGGUUCAAGUCCGUCCCC
rnacentral:tRNA from 1 species